GACGAACGCUGGCGGCGUGCUUAACACAUGCAAGUCGAACGGUGAAGGGACCGGUUUUUGCUGGUUCUGGAUGAGUGGCGAACGGGUGAGUAACACGUGAGUAACCUGCCCCCUUCUUCUGGAUAACCGCAUGAAAGUGUGGCUAAUACGGGAUAUUCUGCGCCUGCUGCAUGGUGGGUGUGGGAAAGAUAUUGUUUCGGUGGGGGAUGGGCUCGCGGCCUAUCAGCUUGUUGGUGGGGUGAUGGCCUACCAAGGCGGUGACGGGUAGCCGGCCUGAGAGGGUGGACGGUCACACUGGGACUGAGACACGGCCCAGACUCCUACGGGAGGCAGCAGUGGGGAAUAUUGCACAAUGGGCGCAAGCCUGAUGCAGCGACGCCGCGUGAGGGAUGGAGGCCUUCGGGUUGUAAACCUCUUUCGCCAGUGAAGCAGGCCUGUCACUUGUGGGUGGGUUGACGGUAGCUGGAUAAGAAGCGCCGGCUAACUACGUGCCAGCAGCCGCCGUAA
rnacentral:rRNA from 1 species